rnacentral:tRNA from 3 species
GGGCUUGUAGCUUAGCGGAUUAGAGCGUGUGGCUACGGACCACAAGGUCGGGGGUUCGAUCCCCUCCAAGCCCG